rnacentral:lncRNA from 1 species
GCACUACUUUCAACUUCAACAGCUUCCACUCCAAGACAAGGCGCUGAGAUGCGCCGCGCCGUACCACAGAACUCCGACAGGUCCGCCGAGUUGGUCGUCCUCUCCCUCUACGCUUUCUAAGAAGAGCUUCAAAAUUUGCAGAGGUAAAGUUGAAAAGAGGUACUUGGUAAGCGGUCCUGCAAGAUGCAAUACUUGACUGUCACAGCUU